rnacentral:tRNA from 1 species
AUUCAAUUAGUUUAAUAAAAACAUUAAAUUGUGAUUUUAAAGAUAAAUAAGUUUAUUGAAUA